rnacentral:rRNA from 1 species
AGGACGAACGCUGGCGGCGUGCCUAACACAUGCAAGUCGAGCGAGGAGAUUCCUCGGGAUGAUCCUAGCGGCGGACGGGUGAGUAACACGUGGGCAACCUGCCUCAUAGAGAGGAUAGCCUUCCGAAAGGGAGAUUAAUACCUCAUAACAUUGCAGUUUCGCAUGGAACAGCAAUUAAAGGAGUAAUCCGCUAUGAGAUGGGCCCGCGGCGCAUUAGCUAGUUGGUGAGGUAACGGCUCACCAAGGCGACGAUGCGUAGCCGACCUGAGAGGGUGAUCGGCCACAUUGGGACUGAGACACGGCCCAGACUCCUACGGGAGGCAGCAGUGGGGAAUAUUGCACAAUGGGGGAAACCCUGAUGCAGCCAACGCCGCGUGAGUGAUGACGGCCUUCGGGUUGUAAAGCUCUGUCUUCAGGGACGAUAAUGACGGUACCUGAGGAGGAAGCCACGGCUAACUACGUGCCAGCAGCAGC